rnacentral:rRNA from 1 species
UACGGAGGGGGCAAGCGUUGUUCGGAAUUACUGGGCGUAAAGGGCGCGCAGGCGGCUGCUCAAGUCAGGCGUGAAAGGCCUGGGCUCAACCCGGGAAUUGCGCUUGAGACUGGGCUGGCUUGAGUGCGGGAGAGGAUGGUGGAAUUCCCAGUGUAGAGGUGAAAUUCGUAGAUAUUGGGAAGACACCGGUGGCGAAGGCGGCCAUCUGGACCGCAACUGACGCUGAUGCGCGAAAGCUAGGGGAGCAAACAGG